GGCGAACGGGUGAGUAACACGUGGGUGAUCUGCCCUGCACUUCGGGAUAAGCCUGGGAAACUGGGUCUAAUACCGGAUAGGACGAUGGUUUGGAUGCCAUUGUGGAAAGUUUUUCGGUGUGGGAUGAGCUCGCGGCCUAUCAGCUUGUUGGUGGGGUAAUGGCCUACCAAGGCGUCGACGGGUAGCCGGCCUGAGAGGGUGUGCGGCCACAUUGGGACUGAGAUACGGCCCAG
rnacentral:rRNA from 1 species